CCUGCUAUGGUAUAACUUAGUGGCAGACGGGUGAGUAAUGUAUAGGAAUCUACCUAGUAGUACGGAAUAAUUGUUGGAAACGGCAACUAAUACCGUAUACGCCCUACGGGGGAAAAAUUUAUUGCUAUUAUAUGAGCCUAUAUUAGAUUAGCUAGUUGGUGGAGUAAUAGCCUACCAAGGCAAUGAUCUAUAGCUGAUCUGAGAGGGUGAUCAGCCACACUGGAACUGAGAUACGGUCCAGACUUCUACGGGAGGCAGCAGUGGGGAAUAUUGGACAAUGGGCGAAAGCCUGAUCCAGCCAUGUCGCAUGAGUGAAGAAGGCUUUUGGGUUGUAAAGCUCUUUUAGUGAGGAAGAUAAUGACGGUACUCACAGAAGAAGU
rnacentral:rRNA from 1 species